CUCUGUGCAGGAAAAAGCUGAUACACACACCACCCUUACAGAGCAGGUCCCUCCCCACCCUUUCCUGCUGCUCAGCAUCUUCUUCAGCACAGGUUUUUUGGGGUCUGUUCUCAGUUCAUUGGGGCUACAAACUCCAGCAGCUUCCUUGCAAAGUCUGCAGUAAUGUGCAAACAGAAAUGAGCGCUAAGGGAAAAAAGAGAUCUGGGACAGCACUGGCCUGAUGCUAUCAGCGAGUUGAUCCUGGCCUGCUGAUGUGCAGCAUGACAACUGAGGAGACAGUAUUGACUAUUCAGCUGGGUUUGUACAUCUCAGAGACUCAGUUUUCCAGAGAGGGAUAUUUAAAAUUGCACAAAAGUGAACAGGAAAAAAAAGGGACAGGUUCAUGAACUAGGCUUUAAGCAGCACUCCAGGUAAACAGCACAGAUGAGGGGUCUGCUUGACAGAAAGAGAAGUUUGUCUGGCAUGUGGAUGGCUCUGUGCCUGUGGCUCCUUCUGGUUUUGGGUAGGACUGGGCAUGGGCAUGGGCAGAGCCAAGCAUGGAAGUUUGUCUGAUGCCCCUGUGCUAGAGUCCUUGAGGCAUUGCUGCUGCUGUCCCUGUUGUGUCAUCUCACCCCCAGCUUCCUCUCUCCUUCUCACAGUGGGAACACAGCUGCACCCAGCCCCUUAUCCUCUGUGGGACAAAUUCAAUUUGCCUACAGCGCUGAUGGGUUUUAAGCUGGAUCUGCACCAAGAGCACCAGAUACCCUGUGCCAACAGCAACAACGUUCACAUGAUCCGUGGUUUCCAUGCCAGACAAUUCUAUGGGACUUGAGUGCUGCGGUUGCUUACCUUCCAGCGAGCCAGCAGCCAGUCUUCAUCAGGGGUCAUUCCUUGUGAAUGCAGUGGGUCUUCUGUCUUAGGUUCCCACAUGGAAAACUGGAUACACUGAUACGUGUAGGAAUUUAUUGUCUAGAAACACACAAUGUCUUCCAAAGCGUAACCAGAUGGACUGUCCUGCUAAAUAGUCACAGGCGUGUGACUGUGCACAAUUCUUCAAAGAAUACAACCUGCAGCCAUCCCUCAUUGUGUGCCUGCAAAUCCUGUUUUCAGUGCUGUUCUGUUUCCGUUGCUCUUGGAUUCCUUCACCACUGAAAAAUGCUCUGGAUAAAGUGAUGGCCAGGCUGAGUGCGUAAGUCUGAUUUUCAGCUCCUGCCAGGUAAGCCUCCAGCUCUUAUUGCUUAUAAAACACCCAACAGGUGAAAUUGCAUGCAGAAGUGAAUCGGCCUCUUCACCGCCUUCAUCAUUAUGCUUAUUUCAGAGGGCUCCAGGUUGGCCAGCAAGAUUUGGGUUUGUCUCAUAUAACAUUAGGAAAAGGGAUAAGUCCUGGACUAUAAGCAACAAAAAAUGGAUCUCAUUUCAAUGUAGCUCCUUAGUUACAAAAAAAUACAUGUUUAGCUUAACCUGUUUCCAAAGAACUAAGGGAUAGUUAAAACAAUGGUUGAUUGUUGCCAAGCCCACUCCCUGUUGCGUGAAUCAGCAAUAUUGUCAGAAAUAAUUUAUAUAGGGUACAGUGUCUCCAUGAUUGAUCUGGUUUCCAUUCCAUCCUUGCUCUGGUUUCUGUACCCC